rnacentral:rRNA from 1 species
UUGAUGCCAUGCUUCCAGGAAAAGCCUCUAAGCAUCAGGUAACAUUAAAUCGUACCCCAAACCGACACAGGUGGUCAGGUAGAGAAUACUCAGGCGCUUGAGAGAACUCGGGUGAAGGAACUAGGCAAAAUGGUGCCGUAACUUCGGGAGAAGGCACGCUGGCGUUAGGUGAAAGGACUAGCUCCUGGAGCUGAAGCCAGUCGCAGAUACCAGCUGGCUGCAACUGUUUAAUAAAAACACAGCACUGUGCAAACACGAAAGUGGACGUAUACAGUGUGACGCCUGCCCGGUGCUGGAAGGUUAAUUGAUGGGGUCAGCCGCAAGGCGAAGCUCUUGAUCGAAGCCCCAGUAAACGGCGGCCGUAACUAUAACGGUCCUAAGGUAGCGAAAUUCCUUGUCGGGUAAGUUCCGACCUGCACGAAUGGCGUAAUGAUGGCCAGGCUGUCUCCACCCGAGACUCAGUGAAAUUGAACUCGCUGUGAAGAUGCAGUGUACCCGCGGCAAGACGGAAAGACCCCGUGAACCUUUACUAUAGCUUGACACUGAACAUUGAGCCUUGAUGUGUAGGAUAGGUGGGAGGCCUUGAAGUGUGGACGCCAGUCUGCAUGGAGCCAACCUUGAAAUACCACCCUUUAAUGUUUGAUGUUCUAACUCGGCCCCAUGAUCUGGGGUGAGGACAGUGUCUGGUGGGUAGUUUGACUGGGGCGGUCUCCUCCCAAAGAGUAACGGAGGAGCACGAAGGUUAGCUAAUCACGGUCGGACAUCGUGAGGUUAGUGCAAAGGCAUAAGCUAGCUUGACUGCGAGAGUGACGGCUCGAGCAGGUACGAAAGUAGGUCUUAGUGAUCCGGUGGUUCUGAAUGGAAGGGCCAUCGCUCAACGGAUAAAAGGUACUCCGGGGAUAACAGGCUGAUACCGCCCAAGAGUUCAUAUCGACGGCGGUGUUUGGCACCUCGAUGUCGGCUCAUCACAUCCUGGGGCUGAAGUAGGUCCCAAGGGUAUGGCUGUUCGCCAUUUAAAGUGGUACGCGAGCUGGGUUUAGAACGUCGUGAGACAGUUCGGUCCCUAUCUGCCGUGGGCGUUGGAAGAUUGAGAGGGGCUGCUCCUAGUACGAGAGGACCGGAGUGGACGAAUCACUGGUGUUCGGGUUGUCAUGCCAAUGGCAUUGCCCGGUAGCUAAAUUCGGAAGAGAUAACCGCUGAAAGCAUCUAAGCGGGAAACUUGCCUCGAGAUGAGUCUUCCCUGGGGCUUAAAGCCCCCUGAAGGAACGUUAAAGACUAUGACGUUGAUAGGCUGGGUGUGUAAGUGCAGCGAUGUAUUGAGCUAACCAGUACUAAUGAUCCGUGAGGCUUAACCUUACAACACCGAAGGUGUUU